UGGGGAAUAUUGCGCAAUGGGGGAAACCCUGACGCAGCGACGCCGCGUGAGUGAUGAAGGCCUUCGGGUUGUAAAGCUCUGUCAGGUGAGAAGAAAUUCUCUAUGGCUAAUAUCCAUAGGGAUCGACGGUAUCACCGGAGGAAGCACCGGCUAACUCCGUGCCAGCAGCCGCGGUAAUACGGAGGGUGCGAGCGUUGUUCGGAAUUACUGGGCGUAAAGGGGGUGUAGGCGGCCAAGUAAGUCAGAUGUGAAAUCCCUCGGCUUAACCGAGGAAGUGCAUCUGAAACUGCUUGGCUUGAGUAUGGGAGAGGAAGGCGGAAUUCCCGGUGUAGCGGUGACAUGCGUAGAUAUCGGGAGGAACACCGGUGGCGAAGGCGGCCUUCUGGCCCAAUACUGACGCUGAGACCCGAAAGCGUGGGGAGCAAACAGG
rnacentral:rRNA from 1 species